CAGCCGCCACGGUAAUACGUAGGUGGCAAGCGUUGUCCGGAAUUAUUGGGCGUAAAGGGCUCGCAGGCGGUUUCUUAAGUCUGAUGUGAAAGCCCCCGGCUCAACCGGGGAGGGUCAUUGGGAACUGGGAAACUUGAGUGCAGAAGAGGAGAGUGGAAUUCCACGUGUAGCGGUGAAAUGCGUAGAGAUGUGGAGGAACACCAGUGGCGAAGGCGACUCUCUGGUCUGUAACUGACGCUGAGGAGCGAAAGCGUGGGGAGCGAACAGGAUUAGAUACCCCCGUAGUCCCUGUCUCUUAUAC
rnacentral:rRNA from 1 species